rnacentral:rRNA from 1 species
GAUGUCAAUUAGCUGUUGGUGCACUUGAUGCAUUAGUAGCGAAGCUAACGCGUGAAAUUGACGCCUGGGGAGUACGGUCGCAAGAUUAAAACUCAAAGGAAUUGACGGGGACCCGCACAAGCGGUGGAUGAUGUGGAUUAAUUCGAUGCAACGCGAAGAACCUUACCUGGUCUUGACAUGUACGGAAGUUUCCAGAGACGGAAAUAUGCCUUCGGGAGCCGUAACACAGGUGCUGCAUGGCUGUCGUCAG